rnacentral:rRNA from 1 species
UACAGAGGGUGCGAGCGUUGUUCGGAAUUACUGGGCGUAAAGAGCGUGUAGGCGGUCAUGUAAGUCAGAUGUGAAAUCCCCGGGCUUAACCCGGGACGUGCAUUUGAAACUACAUGGCUAGAGUGUGGUAGAGGAUAUUGGAAUACCCAGUGUAGUGGUGAAAUACGUAGAUAUUGGGUAGAACACCAGUGGCGAAGGCGGAUAUCUGGGCCAUAACUGACGCUGAGACGCGAAAGCGUGGGGAGCAAACAGGAUUAGAUACCCUGGUAGUCCACGCCCUAAACGAUGGAUGCUCACUGUAGCGGGUAUUGACCCCUGCUGUAGUCUAGUUAACGCGUUAAGCAUCCCGCCUGGGGAGUACGGUCGCAAGAUUAAA